rnacentral:rRNA from 1 species
GACGAACGCUGGCGGCGUGCUUAACACAUGCAAGUCGAACGAGAAUCUGUGGAUCGAGGAUUCGUCCAAGUGAAGCAGAGGACAGUGGCGGACGGGUGAGUAACGCGUGAGGAACCUGCCUUUCAGAGGGGGACAACAGUUGGAAACGACUGCUAAUACCGCAUGAUACAUUUGGGUGGCAUCAUCUGAAUGUCAAAGAUUUAUCGCUGAAAGAUGGCCUCGCGUCUGAUUAGCUGGUUGGUGAGGUAACGGCCCACCAAGGCGACGAUCAGUAGCCGGACUGAGAGGUUGACCGGCCACAUUGGGACUGAGAUACGGCCCAGACUCCGUACGGGAGGCAGCAGUGGGA